UCCGCGAGGCCGUGCUUGGCCAGCGCGCCCACCAGGUGCCCAUCCUGGGUGCUCCAGGGGAGAAAAAGAGAGGCCGUGCUUGGCCUCUGCUGCCGCCACCUCUCACCUUUUCCCCUCGCCGCCGCCGCCACCGCAUCUCUCGUCGCCGCCACCAACCUGGAUCGGUCUAGCCGGUGCCUUGUCCUUGCCCUUUCCCGGUUUUCGGCUUCCUCUCGCAGCAGUAGUGGCUUCGGUCUGCUACAAGGACGCGGUUGGCGCAGCCACCAGCGCUCUCGUGGCCAUGGCGCCUGCGAGGAUUACGCCGGAGGGAGCCCGCGUAAGAGGUUGUGUUGCGGCAGGACUCGCUGGUGCCGGAUCUUAGGGGAGCAGGAUGAGGGAGGCCGCGGCAGGGCGACAACUGUGGCGGGAGGAGGACGAGGUGGCCGAGCUUGGCAGGGGUUACUCAGCAACGCGUACGGCCGCUGCAGUGAGCUUCCUGAGAAUGCGAGGACUCAAUGUAUUUAAGGCAAAACAGAUGUUCUUGAACAUGCUGAAAUGGCGUCAAUAUUGUGUUUGUUAAUGCCAUUUCAAAGGCUGAGUGAAGGCUGGCGCAGGUUCCCGGAAUGACAGUGAUGAUCCAGAGCUGAGUGAAGGCCUGGCGCAGGUUCCCGGAAUGACAGUGAUGAUCCAGAGCAUCCGUUAGAGCUGUGACGUGAGGCUACCAUAGGCAUCAGCAAGAUUAUACCUACCUAAUUUUAUGUGCAAGCAACGCCAUCGGCAGGGGUCUCGCGCUCUCACGCUGUCAUUGUGAGUAUUGUUUCAGUCAGUAUGUUUCAGUGGUUAUCACUUUCAGCCUCGUUAGUUUUUGUGUGUUCUGCUCUUGGAUAUGUAAAAUAAAGACCCUUUGCAGUCGAUGGGAAGUAGAUAACUUCAGAGGAGCAUCGAUGGUAAAGAAACUGUAGAAUAUGAAGAUACUACCGAUUUUUCUCCUUUUUUCAGAUUCGAUUGAACUGCAUCUAGGCUUCUAUUUAUGUUUUCCUGUUCUCUCGCAGAAUACGUUAUGUCUCCAUGUGUUACUGCAAAUCAGGUAUUUUCCUUUCUUUCUUUUACUGCAUCUCUAGGCUCACAGUUCUAUUUUUAGUAAGUGGUAGUGAUUUUAGUAGAAAAUAAUAUGUUGAACAUGAAAUAUUGUGCUUUCAGUUAAAGAACUAAUAUAGAAGAUUAUAGAUAUAUUAGUUAAUCCCCUAUUAGUUUCUUGGAUUGACGAAUCAUCCAGGCAUCAUGCUAGAUGGUAAAAAAGAAAGGAUUUUUACAUGCAUGUUCAUCUGAUCUGCCUUGAAGUGAUUAUUUCCCACCUUGUUUUAUCUCAUGACCAAUUCUAUUCUAUUUACUAUGUUACAUCAAAGUAGAUCCUUCUGUUUAAUUCCAUCGACCAUCUCUGUUUAAUCCCUCAAUAGGUCAAGUUAUGCAAACUAGCCAGUACCUUCUCAGUUGGCAAGUUUCAAAAGGGCAUGUUUUUCAUUAUGGAUUUUACAGAAGUCUUAUGACUGUAAAUGAAUGAAAUAGAGAUGGAUGCCGCCGCCAUCAUGAGAUCGGCGUUUGGGGCUACCUCAACAGUGUUGUUGAUCUGCAGGUUCGUCUCCCUCUCUGUUUUCAUAU